rfam:Schistosoma mattheei strain Denwood, Zambia genome assembly, scaffold: SMTD_scaffold0006139
AUCCAGCUGAAAAGUUCAAAAUUGGACGAAAUGCGCGUUCUGGAU